rnacentral:rRNA from 1 species
UACGAGGGGAGCUAGCGUUGUUCGGAAUCACUGGGCGUAAAGCGCACGUAGGCGGGUUUGUCAGUCGGGGGUGAAAGCCCGAGGCUCAACCUCGGAACUGCCUUCGAUACUGCGGGUCUCGAGUCCGGGAGAGGUGAGUGGAAUUCCUAGUGUAGAGGUGAAAUUCGUAGAUAUUAGGAAGAACACCAGUGGCGAAGGCGGCUCACUGGCCCGGUACUGACGCUGAGGCGCGAAAGCGUGGGGAGCAAACAGGG